rnacentral:rRNA from 1 species
UAAUACAUGCAAGUCGAGCGAGCGGAACACACAGAUUUACUUCGGUAAUGACGUUGGGAAAGCGAGCGGCGGAUGGGUGAGUAACACGUGGGGAACCUGCCCCUAAGUCUGGGAUACCAUUUGGAAACAGGUGCUAAUACCGGAUAAUAAAGCAGAUCGCAUGAUCAGCUUUUGAAAGGCGGCGUAAGCUGUCGCUAAGGGAUGGCCCCGCGGUGCAUUAGCUAGUUGGUAAGGUAACGGCUUACCAAGGCGACGAUGCAUAGCCGAGUUGAGAGACUGAUCGGCCACAUUGGGACUGAGACACGGCCCAAACUCCUACGGGAAGGCAGCAGUAGGGAAUCUUCCACAAUGGACGCAAGUCUGAUGGAGCAACGCCGCGUGAGUGAAGAAGGUUUUCGGAUCGUAAAGCUCUGUUGUUGGUGAAGAAGGAUAGAGGUAGUAACUGGCCUUUAUUUGACGGUAAUCAACCAGAAAGUCACGGCUAACUACGUGCCAGCAGCCGCGGUAAUACGUA